AUGAAGACCUUCCUCAUCUUUGCCCUCCUCGCCGUUGCGGCGACAAGUGCCAUUGCACAAAUGGAGACUAGCCACAUCCCUGGCUUGGAGAAACCAUCGCAACAACAACCAUUACCACUACAACAAAUAUUAUGGUACCACCAACAGCAACCCAUCCAACAACAACCACAACCAUUUCCACAACAGCCACCAUGUUCACAGCAACAACAACCACCAUUAUCGCAGCAACAACAACCACCAUUUUCACAGUAACAACCACCAUUCUCGCAGCAAGAACUACCAGUUCUACCGCAACAACCACCAUUUUCGCAGCAACAACAACCAUUCCCGCAGCAACAACAACCACUUCUACCGCAACAACCCCCAUUUUCACAACAACGACCACCAUUUUCUCAGCAGCAGCAACAACCAGUUCUACCGCAACAACCACCAUUUACGCAACAACAGCAACAACAACAACAACAACAACAACAACAACAACAACAACAACAACAACAACCAAUUCUACCGCAACAACCACCUUUUUCGCAACACCAACAACCGGUUCUGCCGCAACAACAAAUACCAUAUGUUCAGCCAUCUAUCUUGCAGCAGCUAAACCCAUGCAAGGUAUUCCUCCAGCAGCAAUGCAGCCCUGUGGCAAUGCCACAAAGUCUUGCUAGGUCACAAAUGUUGUGGCAGAGCAGUUGCCAUGUGAUGCAGCAACAAUGUUGCCAGCAGCUGCCGCGAAUCCCCGAACAAUCACGCUAUGAUGCAAUCCGUGCCAUCAUCUACUCGAUCGUCCUACAAGAACAACAACAUGGUCAGGGUUUCAACCAACCUCAUCAGCAACAACCCCAACAGUCGGUCCAAGGUGUCUCCCAACCCCAACAACAACAGAAGCAGCUCGGACAGUGUUUUUUCCAACGACCUCAACAACAACAACUGGGUCAAUGGCCUCAACAACAACAGGUACCACAGGGUACCUUGUUGCAGCCACACCAAAUAGCUCAACUUGAGUUGAUGACUUCCAUUGCACUCCGUACCCUGCCAAUGAUGUGCAGUGUCAACGUGCCGGUGUACGGCACCACCACUAGUGUGCCAUUCGGCGUUGGCACCCAAGUUGGUGCCUACUGAUAA
rnacentral:rRNA from 1 species